rnacentral:rRNA from 1 species
UACGAGGGGGGGCGAGCGUUUGUUCGGAAUUAUUGGGCGUAAAGGGUGCGUAGGCGGUUCCGCAAGUCCUGUGUGAAAUCUUCGGGCUCAACUCGAAGUCUGCACGGGAAACUGCGGGGCUUGAGUGUGGGAGAGGUGAGUGGAAUUCCCGGUGUAGCGGUGAAAUGCGUAGAUAUCGGGGAGGAACACCUGUGGCGAAAGCGGCUCACUGGACCAUAACUGACGCUGAUGCACGAAAGCUGGGGGAGCAAACAGG